GUGGCUUCCUAACGACUCGAGUGCCGAAGGCAUGGGCUCCCUAGGGGUCCAGCGGUAUGCUCUCGGAAAAUUUUGAAAAUUAGAACACUAGAAAUGCCUUUUCCUGCGAUAUGGGCAUUGAAUUAUGAGCUUCAGUUUGACUUCAAAAAAGGAAAAACCUUGGAAAUUAUGCCAUAUUCUGAAUUUGAUUACUUUGCACCCCCCUUGCACCCCUG